UUAAAUGCUAAUAUUUGUUUCUUUGUUUUUGUCAGGUGCAACGUUUUCUAAACUCGUUGGAAGUGCAUACUAUGUGGCACCUGAGGUUUUGCGUAGGCAUUACGGCCGUGAAUGUGACGUAUGGAGCGCUGGAGUUAUCCUUUACAUGCUAUUAUGUGGUUUUCCUCCUUUCAAUGCUGGAACUGAACGUGGGAUCUUUAGAAAGAUUCUACAGGGAAAGCUGGACUUUGAGACCGAUCCUUGGCCUAUCAUUUCAGAGAGUGCCAAAGAUCUUAUAAAGAAAAUGCUUGAGAGCGAUCCAAAGAGAAGGCUUACUGCUCAUCAAGUGUUGUGUAAGCUACUUAACUCUCAUCUUAUGAGCUUAUUGUAUAUUCUUGCUAACGUGUGAUUGAAGUUGUCUUGUUUUGUCAGGUCACCCUUGGAUUGUGGAUGAUACGGUUGCUCCAGAUAAACCAUUGGGCUUUGCAGUUAUGUCCCGCUUGAAAAGGUUCUCUGCAAUGAACAAACUUAAGAAGAUGGCUUUACGCGUAGUUGCAGAGAGACUAUCUGAGGAAGAAAUCGGUGGGCUCAAAGAACUGUUCAAGAUGAUAGAUACAGACAACAGUGGGACCAUCACGUUUGAAGAGUUGAAAGACAGUGUCAGAUGUGUUGGGUCAGAGCUUGUGGAAUCAGAGAUCCAACAACUCUUGCAAGCAUGGAACAAUUGACUAUGGAGAGUUCUUGGCUGCAACAAUCCACUUGAACAAGCUGGAAAGAGAGGAGAAUCUAGUAGCUGCAUUCUCUUUCUUUGAUAAAGAUGCAAGUGGUUGCAUCACUGUUGAUGAACUCCAACAGGCUUGGAAGCAGUUUGGGAUAAAAGAUUCGAAUCUGGAUAAAAUGAUCAAAGACAUCGACCAAGACAGUGAUGGAAGAAUAGACUAUGGAGAAUUUGUGGCAAUGAUGAGAAAAGGCAAUGGUGGCAGUGAUGGGAUCAGCAGGGGCACAAUGAGGAACAUUCAACUCUGGAAUUUUCUUGAUAGAACUUUCUGUUUCUGUUUUAAAAGCAGUUAUGUUUUCAAUAAAAACUAAUUAUGAGUAGUGUAAUUGGAAUCAAGCUCUUAAACAGUUAUCAAACAUUGUUCUCAGAGGUUUAGCUCUCUGGUACAAAAUGGUAUGUGGCCUUAAUAUAAUGUGUGUCUUGACAUGUGUGACAUUAAUAACUUUACCAAAGCAGUUUAACAUGUGA